AUUGAACGCUGGCGGCAGGCCUAACACAUGCAAGUCGAGCGGAUGAAGAGAGCUUGCUCUCUGAUUUAGCGGCGGACGGGUGAGUAAUGCCUAGGAAUCUGCCUGGUAGUGGGGGAUAACGUUCCGAAGGGAACGCUAAUACCGCAUACGUCCUACGGGAGAAAGCAGGGGACCUUCGGGCCUUGCGCUAUCAGAUGAGCCUAGGUCGGAUUAGCUAGUUGGUGAGGCAAUGGCUCACCAAGGCGACGAUCCGUAACUGGUCUGAGAGGAUGAGCAGUCACACUGGAACUGAGACACGGUCCAGACUCCUACGGGAGGCAGCAGUGGGGAAUAUUGGACAAUGGGCGAAAGCCUGAUCCAGCCAUGCCGCGUGUGUGAAGAAGGUCUUCGGAUUGUAAAGCACUUUAAGUUGGGAGGAAGGGCAGUAAGUUAAUACCUUGCUGUUUUGACGUUACCGACAGAAUAAGCACCGGCUAACUUCGUGCCAGCCGCCGCCGUAAGAC
rnacentral:rRNA from 1 species